GAUGAACGCUGGCGGCGUGCCUAACACAUGCAAGUCGAACGAACAGACGAUGAGCUUGCCCCUCUGACGUUAGAGGCGGGAGCGUGAGUAACACGCGUAUAACCUACCUAUAAGACUGGGAAAACCUCGGCAAACGGGAACUAAAACCGGAUAAUAUACUGAACCGCAUGGUUGGAUAGUGAAAGACGGCUUUCCUGACACGUAUAGAUUGAUCCACGCGGCAUUAGCUAGUUGGUAAGGUAACGGCUUACCAAGGCAACGAUGCGUAGCCGACCUGAGAGGGUGAUCGGCCACACUGGAACUGAGACACGGUCCAGACUCCUACGGGAGGCAGCAGUAGGGAAUCUUGCGCAAUGGGCGAAAGCUUGACGGAGCAACGCCGCGUGAGUGAUGAAGGUCUUCGGAUCGUAAAACUCUGUUAUUAGGGAAGAACAAAUGUGUAAGUAACUAUGCACGUCUUGACGGUACCGAAUCAGAAAGCCACGGCUAACUACGUG
rnacentral:rRNA from 1 species